rnacentral:rRNA from 1 species
CCUACGGGGGGCAGCAGUGGGGAAUAUUGGACAAUGGGGGCAACCCUGAUCCAGCCAUGCCGCGUGUGUGAAGAAGGCCCUCGGGUUGUAAAGCACUUUCAGGGAGGAAGAACGCCUGGUGGUUAAUACCCAUCAGGAAAGACAUCACUCACAGAAGAAGCACCGGCUAACUCCGUGCCAGCAGCCGCGGUAAUACGGAGGGUGCGAGCGUUAAUCGGAAUUACUGGGCGUAAAGCGCGCGUAGGUGGCUUGAUAAGCCGGUUGUGAAAGCCCCGGGCUCAACCUGGGAACGGCAUCCGGAACUGUCAAGCUAGAGUGCAGGAGAGGAAGGUAGAAUUCCCGGUGUAGCGGUGAAAUGCGUAGAGAUCGGGAGGAAUACCAGUGGCGAAGGCGGCCUUCUGGACUGACACUGACACUGAGGUGCGAAAGCGUGGGUAGCAAACAGGAUUAGAUACCCUGGUAGUC